CAUGUUCUAGAGCUGCAAGUGUCUG
rnacentral:piRNA from 1 species